rnacentral:rRNA from 1 species
GACGGANCCAGCCAUGCCGCGUGCAGGGAAGACGGCGCUUCUGCGGUUGUAAACUGCUUUUAUACGGGAAGAAAAGGCCCAUGCGUGGGACAUUGCCGGUACCGUAUGAAUAAGCACCGGCUAACUCCGUGCCAGCAGCCGCGGUAAUACGGAGGGUGCGAGCGUUGUCCGGAUUUAUUGGGUUUAAAGGGUGCGUAGGCGGCCAUUUAAGUCAGCGGUGAAAGUCUGUGGCUCAACCAUGGAACUGCCGUUGAUACUGGGUGGCUUGAGUGUUGGUGGGGUACAUGGAAUUUAUGGUGUAGCGGUGAAAUGCAUAGAUACCAUAAGGAACACCGAUAGCGAAGGCAUUGUACUUACCAACAACUGACGCUGAGGCACGAAAGCGCGGGUAUCGAACAGGAUUAGAUACCCUGGUAGUCCGCGCCGUAAACGAUGAUCACUCGCUGUCAUGCCUAUAUGGUGUGGUGGCCAAGCGAAAGCGUUAAGUGAUCCACCUGGGGAGUACGCCCGCAAGGGUG